UUGACCUCGGAUCAGGCAGGGAUACCCGCUGAACUUAAGCUAUAUCAAUAAGCGGAGGAAAAGAAACCAACAGGGAUUGCCUCAGUAACGGCGAGUGAAGCGGCAACAGCUCAAAUUUGAAAUCUGGCUCUUUCAGGGUCCGAGUCGUAAUUUGUAGAGGAUGCUUCGGCGUGGGCUCCGGUCUAAGUUCCUUGGAACAGGACGUCAUAGAGGGUGAGAAUCCCGUAUGUGAUCGGCUGCCUUUGCCAUGUGAAGCUCCUUCGACGAGUCGAGUUGUGGUGGGAAUGCAGCUCUAAAUGGGAGGUAAUUCUUCUAAAGCUAAUACUGGCCAGAGACCGAUAGCGCCCAGUAGAGUGAUAC
rnacentral:rRNA from 1 species